CCCUUAGAUGUUCUGGGCUGUACGCGCGCUACACUGACACACGCAACGAGUCUCCUGCCCUGACAGGGUCGGGUAAUCAUUUGAGUGUGUGUCGUGAUGGGGAUAGAGUAUUGCAAUUAUUGCUCUUGAACGAGGAAUUCCUAGUAAGCACAAGUCAGCAGCUUGUGCUGAUUACGUCCCUGCCCUUUGUACACACCGCCCGUCGCUCCUACCGAGGGGGUGAUCCGGUGAAUGAUUCGGACUCUGGUGCUUCUAGCUGCUAGAUGCGCCGGAGGAAGUUUUGUGAACCUUAUCACUUGGAGGAAGGAGAAGUCGUAACA
rnacentral:rRNA from 1 species